rnacentral:rRNA from 1 species
GACGUAGGGUGCGAGCGUUGUCCGGAUUUAUUGGGCGUAAAGGGCGCGUAGGCGGCCACCGCAAGUCGACUGUGAAAUCUCCGGGCUUAACCCGGAAAGGUCAGCCGAUACUGCGGGGCUAGAGUGCAGAAGGGGCAACUGGAAUUCUCGGUGUAGCGGUGAAAUGCGUAGAUAUCGAGAGGAACACCUGCGGCGAAGGCGGGUUGCUGGGCUGACACUGACGCUGAGGCGCGAAAGCUAGGGGAGCGAACGGG